UACGUAGGGGGGCAAGCGUUGUCCGGAUUUAUUGGGCGUAAAGAGCGUGUAGGCGGUUAGGUAGGUCCGUUGUGAAAAACUCGAGGCUCAACCUCGAGACGCCGAUGGAAACCAUCUGACUAGAGUCCGGAAGAGGAGAGUGGAAUUCCUGGUGUAGCGGUGAAAUGCGCAGAUAUCAGGAAGAACACCCGUGGCUAAGGCGGCUCUCUAGUACGGUACUGACGCUGAGACGGCGAAAGCGUGGGGAGCGAAC
rnacentral:rRNA from 1 species